UACGUAGGCAGCAAGCGUUGUUCGGAAUUACUGGGCGUAAAGAGUGUGUAGGCGGUGCUCUAAGUCUGUUGUGAAAUCUCCCGGCUUAACCGGGAGGGUGCGGCGGAAACUGGAGUGCUUGAGGGUGGGAGAGGUAAGCGGAAUUCCUGGUGUAGCGGUGAAAUGCGUAGAUAUCGGGAGGAACACCAGUGGCGAAGGCGGCUCUCUGGGCCCUACCUGACGCUGAGACGCGAAAGCGUGGGGAGCGAACCGG
rnacentral:rRNA from 1 species